rnacentral:rRNA from 1 species
UGCGUAGGCGGUUUGGUAAGUCUGAUGUGAAAUCUAUGGGCUCAACUCAUAGUCUGCAUCGGAAACUGCCGGGCUGGAGUGUGGGAGAGGUGAGUGGAAUUUCCGGUGUAGCGGUGAAAUGCGUAGAUAUCGGAAGGAACACCUGUGGCGAAAGCGGCUCACUGGACCACAACUGACGCUGAUGCACGAAAGCUAGGGGAGCAAACAGGAUUAGAUACCCUGGUAGUCCUAGCCCUAAACGAUGACUGCUUGGUGUGACGGGUACCCAAUCCCGCCGUGCCGUAGCUAACGCGUUAAGCAGUCCGCCUGGGGAGUACGGUCGCAAGGCUAGAA